ensembl:lncRNA
CAAGAAUACACAGAAGAACUGUACAAAAAAAGAUCUCCACAAACCAGAUAAUCAUGAUGGUGUGAUCACUUAUCUAGAGCCAGACAUCCUGGAAUGUGAAGUCAAGUGGGCCUUAGAAAGCAUCACUAUGAACAAAGCUAGUGGAGGUGAUGGAAUUCCAGUUGAGCUAUUUCAAAUCCUGAAAGAUGAUGCUGUGAAAGUGCUGCACUCAAUAUGCCAGCAAAUUUGGAAAAAUCAGCAGUGGCCACAAGACUGGAAAAGGUCAGUUUUCAUUCCAAUCCCAAAGAAAGGCAAUGUCAAAGAAUGCUCAAACUACUGCACAAUUGCACUCAUCUCACACUCUAGUAAAGUAAUGCUCAAAAUUCUCCAAGCCAGACUUCAACAAUACAUGAACUGUGAACUUCCAGAUGUUCAAGCUGGUUUUAGAAAAGGCAGAGGAACCAGGGAUCAAGUUGCCAACAUCCGCUGGAUCAUGGAAAAAGCAAGAGAGUUCCAGAAAAACAUGUAUUUCUGCUUUAUUGACUAUGUCAAAGCCUUUGACUGUGUGGAUCACAACAAACUGUGGAAAAUUCUGAAAGAGAUGGGAAUAUCAGACCACCUGACCUGCCUCUUGAGAAACCUAUAUGCAGGUCAGUAAGCAACAGUUAGAACUAGACAUGGAACAACAGACUGGUUUCAAAUAGGAAAAGGAGUACGUCAAGGCUGUAUAUUGUGACCCUGCUUAUAUAACUUCUAUGCAGAGUACAUCAUGAGAAACGAUGGGCUGGAAGAAGCACAAGCUGGAAUCAAGAUUGCUGGGAGAAAUAUCAAUAACCUCAGAUAUGCAGAUGGCACCACCCUUAUGGCAGAAAGUGAAGAGGAACUAAAAAGCCUCGAUGAAAGUGAAAGAGGAGAGUGAAAAAGUUGGCUUAAAGCUCAACAUUCAGAAAACUAAGAUCAUGGAAUCUGGUCCCAUCACUUCAUGGGAAAUAGAUAGGGAAACAGUGGAAACAGUGUGUCAGACUUUAUUUUUGGGGGGGGCUCCAAAAUCACUGCAGAUGAUGACUGCAGCCAUGAAAUUAAAAGUCACCUACUCCUUGGAAGGAAAGUUAUGGCCAACCUAGAUAGCAUAUUGAAAAGCAGAGACAUUACUUUGCCAACAAAGGUCUGUCUAGUCAAGGCUAUGGUUUUUCCUGUGGUCAUGUAUGGAUGUGAGAGUUGGACUGUGAAGAAAGCUGAGCACUGAAGAAUUGAUGCUUUUGAAGUGUGGUGUUGGAGAAGACUCUUGAGAGUCCCUUGGACUGCAAGGAGAUCUAGCCAGUCCAUUCUGAAGGAGAUCAGCCCUGGGUGUUCAUUGGAAGGAAUGAUGCUAAAGCUGAAACUCCAAUACUUUGGCCACCUCAUGUGAAGAGUUGACUCACUGGAAAAGGCUCUGAUGCUAAGAGGGAUUGGUGGUAGGAGGAGAAGGAGACAACAGAGGAUGAGAUGGCUAGAUGGUAUCGCAACUCAAUGGACAUGAGUUUGGGUAAAUUCCGAGAGUUGGUGAUGGACAGGGAGGCCUGGCAUGUUAUGAUUCAUGGGGUCGCAAAGAGUCGGACACGACUGAGCGACUGAACUGAACUGAUGCUUCUAUAUUUUAUACUUUGAAUUGACAGAAAGUAAAACCAAGAGUUUCUACAAAUAAAGAAACAUUUUUAAAUGUUUAGGAUAUUUUUAAGUCUCUCUCAAGUACACAGCUUUGUCUGCAUCUGGCCUUCUAUACGAAAGAAUCUCAUGUGGACUUUUACUCUGGCUAUUAUUUUUCAGAUGUGAGGAGUAAACAAACUAAAUUAUCAGGAUCCUUGUUAUUCAGUUUAGAAUUAUACAUAUGUCUUAAUUCUCCUUCAAACAACUGCCUGAAAGUUGCUCAGUUCAGUGGCUCAACCAUGUCCGACUCUUUGUGACCCCAUGGACUGCAGCACGCCAAGCUUCUCUGCCCAUCACCAACUCCCAGAGCUUGCUCAAACUCAAGUCCAUUGAGUCAGUGAUGUGAUUCAACCUUCUCAUCCUCUGUCGUCCCCUUCUCCUCCUGCUUUCAAUAUUUCCCAGCAUCAGGGUCUUUUCCUACAAGUCAGUUCUGCACAUCAGGAGGCCAAAGUAUUGGAGUUUCAGGUUCAGCAUCAGUCCUUCCAGUGAAUAUUCAGGACUGAUUUCCUUUAGGUUGGACUUGUUGGAUCUCCUUGAAGUCCAAGGGACUCUCAAGAGUCUUCUCCAACACCACAGUUCAAAAGCAUCAAUUCUUCAGUGCUCAGCUUUCUUUAUAGUCCAACUCUCACAUCUGUACAUGACUACUGUAUGGAAUGUUCCUAGUUUUAUGCAUAUUAGCUAUAAGAGGUGGGCAUAGAAAAAGAGAAGGCAAAGGUUAAAUUAGUGAAUUUUGUUAUUGAUUACCUAAGUUUCUAAGUAAAAGUUCAAUUACCUUUUUUUUUUUUAGUUUUUUAUUUUUUAAAUUUUAAAAUCUUUAAUUCUUACAUGCGUUCCCAAACAUGGACCCCCCUCCCACCUCCCUCCCCAUAACAUCUCUCUGCAUAUCCAAAACUCUUUCAAACUGGUAGUUAAUUACAAAGCUCUUUGAUUUUAUAGUUUUGCAUAUAUUUGGGUGAUUUCCACUGCUCAUUACUACCCAUGUGUUUAUGUUGACUGGAUGUUCUACUUACCUUGUGUUCUUCACACAUUUUGGCAUUCAUAUUUAUUAUGUUACUGUCUGAUGUUCUAUAAUAUUAGCAAAUGUUUGCUAUACUUUUGACAUUACUUUUUAUAGCCCUCUUAAUUUUAUGGAGCAGUGAAAGUUUA